rnacentral:pre_miRNA from 1 species
AGCCUUCUGUGAUUGUGCUGGGAUUUCGUCACGCACCAGACCACAAGGGUUAAUAAGACUCCCAAGAUAAGUGAAGCG